CUUGGAAGAUCAUGUGCACAUGGCAGAGCUGCUCUCCUGGACCCUCAACGGCCCCAAGGAUCAGAGCUGCCCACAGACUGGGACUUGAGUGCUUGGUGCUUUUGGUCCUUCCCUGGAAAUUGCCUGGCUGUGGCUGCAUUCCCACCCCGACUUCUCCAAGGAAGAAUCAGACAGCAAGGUGGUAAGAGAUGAAUUUAGAUGUACUACUGCACAAGGAAUUUGAUUUGUUUUUGGCUACAACCAACAUCUUGAGAAAGCCUCUAACACUAGGAUUCUACAAUAAAUUUUUUAACUCAUUUUAUUACA
ensembl:lncRNA